GGAGAGGUGGCUCAGUGGUUAAGAGUACUGGCUGGCUGUUCUUCCAGAGGACCCGGGUUCAAUUCCCAGCAUCCACA
rnacentral:tRNA from 1 species